CCGAAAGGUGACCGACCUUCGGGAGCUUGCACAGGUGCUGCAUGGCUGUCGUCAGCUCGUGUCGUGAGAUGUUCGGUUAAGUCCGCUAACGAGCGCAACCCUCGCUGUGUGUUAUAUGUGUCACACGGGACUGCCGGUCUUAAGCCGGAGGAAGGUGGGGAUGAUGUCAAGUCAGCAUGGCCUUUAUAUCCUGGGAUACACACACGCUACAAUGGCCAACACAAUAGGUUGCUAAGCCGCGAGGUGGCGCCAAUCCAUAAAGUUGGUCUCAGUUCAGAUUGUAGGCUGCAACCCGCCUGCAUGAAGAUGGAGUUGCUAGUAACCGCAGGUCAGCUAUACUGCGGUGAAUACGUUCCCGGGGCUU
rnacentral:rRNA from 1 species